UCUCACUGUGUUGCCCAGGCUUGUCUCAACCUCCUGAGCUCAAGUGAUCCUCCUGCCUUGGCCCCCCAAAGUGCUGGGAUUACAGGUGUGAGCCACCAAGCCUGUCCUGGGUCCAAAUCUUCACCUGUCCCAUCCCAAAGCCCAGCUUUAUUUCUGUCUUUAGUAGUUAUGUGGUAGAGUACUUUACUGCAUAACUACCAAAGAUGGGACUAAGGGUGACUUCUUUUUUUAUUAUUUUGGUUUUUUUUUGUUGUUGUUGAAUAGGCAAAAUGUAUACGUGCAUGACAAAUUCAAAUACACAGUGGCAAAUACAUUUCUCUGGUUUCAUGUCUUGUCUGGGGCCACCCUCCUGCAGGCAACCAUAGUUAUAGUUUCCUGUGUAGUCUUUCAGGAACAUUUUGGGGUUUUAUAAUAUAAGCAUAUACAUAUAUAUCCUUUUUUUCCUUACAUAAAUGGUAGCUCACUAAAUAUACUGUAGUGUCUGUUUUUUUUCGCUUAACAGCAUAUCUUGGAGGUGGGCUAAAUAAUUCUUUUUAAGAGCUUCAGAGUUGGAAAUACUUUCCAUUAUAUGUAUGUUCCAUAAUUUUAUUUAACUGAAAUUGAUCUAUUUUACUGAUAUAUUUAUUUAAAUGAGAUUGAUGAACCUUACAAAGAUUACAUUGUUAAAUGACCGUAUUCCACUCAGUGUAGCCAGCCUUCAAAACCUUGCUGAUGAAUGAAUGCCUCAAAACUAGAAUAAGCAUAUGGCUUCCCAGAGUGACUUAAUUUCGUGCAUGCUUUUGAAACAUUUAGUGUGUGAUUUAAAAAUGUAUUCGCAUUUCUAACAUAUGCAUUUGCAUGUGCACACACAUACAUUCUCACCACUUGAACUAGAGUUAAAGGCUAGCAGUGAAAGAGACCACGGUCUCAAGAUGUUCAAAAAAAGUUAGCAGUGCUUAUUGGAUCCUUAUCACUCUUUUAUAGUAGUGAGACAAUAAAACAGUCUGUGGUCUGCCUAAACCUCAACCCAGCUUCUUUGGAGGAGGAUGAUUUGGAUCAGUAAGAAUAAAGUAGGAGUAGAUCAGCCUUCCAGGAGAGAUGGAGAAGGAAAUCGCAAAAGAAGCAAUUUUAUACUCUCUAUAGCAAAAGAAGGAAAUUCCUUUUUAAUCCAGUAAACUUUAAGCUCUUUAGUUAGAAUUUUUUUCAUGGCUAAUGUAAAUGCUGGUCUACUUUCUAUGUUGACACCUUAUGAAUUGUAACUCAAUUCAGGGAUAAGGUUCUCUACAAACAUUUUUUAAAAAACUAGCCAGGUGUGGUAGUGCACACCUUUACUACCAGCUACUCAAGAGGAUGAGGUUGGAAGAUCACUUGAGCCAAGGAGUUUGAUGCUAUAGUGAGCUACUAUCACAUCACUGCACCUUAGUCUGGGAGACAGAGAGGCUCUGUCUCUAAAAUUUGUUUUUUAAAAAAGGGACUCGAGUUCCUUAAAAGGUGGAAUUUAUAGCCCUUUAACUUUGUAUGCUUCCGAGAAGUUAUAGGACGUGUGUGUGUGUGUGUGUGUGAGAGAGAGAGAGAGAGAGAAAGAGCGCAUAGCAGUUAUUCUCCCAAUAUCCACCUGUAUUUAAGGAUAGGCCCUGUCUAGGGAUUUCUAAGAUAAGACAUUCAUGAUGAGACUUUCCAAUAAUCCACAUAGUUACAUUUCUUCCUCUGUUAUGUGCUUUCUAUUCAAAUGGCAAAUCUAUUUGCCUUAUUUCCAAGAGCUGACUUAAUGUAUCGCAAGCAGCGAUUUGAUUUGGAAGUCUAGGAUCAAGGCUGGUAUCCUCCAACACCAACUGUUCCUACUGCUCCUCCCCACACCAUAGGAUUACUCACACCACAUGCACUCCAUCUCUGUACUCAUCUCUUCUCUCCUUAUCUUAAGGCUGUGAUAUAAACCACUGGAUGGGUGGAGGCAUCUUGCAUUUUCUAGUUGCAAAGGACCUCAGAAAUAAUGACACUAAAGCAGAGGGGACAGACAAUGACCUCCAUUUAACUUGAAGCAGAAGCUGCCAGAAUGGAGGAGAUACAGCCACCUCAGGUAAUCACAGCAUUUCAAAGGGGCUCGCUUGAUACUUGGUUGAAGAGGGACCCUAUCCUCCUCUGAAUCUUGGAUUCUAGCCUCAACAUACACCUCAGGUUUGGAAUUUAAUUUAAUUCUUGGAAAAUAAUUUCUUCAUAGAUUUUUUUUAAUGAAAAAGAGAUUUUAGAAGUAUGAUCAGGUGGUCUCCACACAGAGACAUACACGACACUUUCUGAUUUGUGGAUGACUCCCUUGUUUAACAGGGCCAUGACUGCUCAGUCCCCAGCUUCCACAACAGCUGGGGCAGUUCUGAAACCCUCCUGCUGUGGCUGAGGUGGGCUUACCUUCAAAAUUCUCUUUGGGGUCUGGGACUUUAUGCUGUAUGCUCUUGGAAACACUAAGGUCUUUUCCAAGUUUCUAUUCUUACUUCUCAGGGAGAGAGACUAAUUGUUAAGAUCAUCAAUAUGCUUGGUUCAGAGCUCAGUUCAGAGCCCGUGGGAGCUCUGAACUCAGAGUAGCUCCACAGGGGCCUGGGCGGGAUGAUAAAUGGAUUCAUUAGUGUUGUGUGGAAUGUCCACAAGAGCCCUUUUGCACCUGAGACGCAGAAAACAUUAAAGAGAAGGGGGACACAAGCUUGGCUUCUAAAUACCAUAAAAAGAGCAUGGGAGGUGAUGAAGGCAGAAGGCAUUGGACCUGCUCUCCAGGAAGGGACCUCAAGAGAGAAUUGCCAAAAA